rnacentral:rRNA from 1 species
GACGAACGCUGGCGGCGUGCCUAAUACAUGCAAGUCGAGCGGAUGGAAGGAAGCUUGCUUCCUAAAGUCAGCGGCGGACGGGUGAGUAACACGUGGGCAGCCUGCCCCUAAGAUCGGGAUAACUUCGGGAAACCGGAGCUAAUACCGGAUAUGAUAUGUCUCACAUGAGACAUAAUGGAAAGACGGUUUCGGCUGUCACUUAGGGAUGGGCCCGCGGCGCAUUAGCUAGUUGGUGAGGUAACGGCUCACCAAGGCGACGAUGCGUAGCCGACCUGAGAGGGUGAUCGGCCACACGGGGACUGAGACACGGCCCAGACUCCUACGGGAGGCAGCAGUAGGGAAUCUUCCGCAAUGGACGAAAGUCUGACGGAGCAACGCCGCGUGAGUGAAGAAGGUUUUCGGAUCGUAAAACUCUGUUGUUAGGGAAGAACAAGUACCAUAGUAACUGAUGGUACCUUGACGGUACCUAACCAGAAAGCCACGGCUAACUACGUGCCAGCCGCCGCAGUAA